rnacentral:rRNA from 1 species
AGCGAACGCUGGCGGCAGGCCUAACACAUGCAAGUCGAACGAACUCUUCGGAGUUAGUGGCGGACGGGUGAGUAACACGUGGGAACGUGCCUUUAGGUUCGGAAUAACUCAGGGAAACUUGUGCUAAUACCGAAUGUGCCCUUCGGGGGAAAGAUUUAUCGCCUUUAGAGCGGCCCGCGUCUGAUUAGCUAGUUGGUGAGGUAAAGGCUCACCAAGGCGACGAUCAGUAGCUGGUCUGAGAGGAUGAUCAGCCACAUUGGGACUGAGACACGGCCCAAACUCCGACGGGAGGCAGCAGUGGGGAAUCUUGCGCAAUGGGCGAAAGCCUGACGCAGCCAUGCCGCGUGAAUGAUGAAGGUCUUAGGAUUGUAAAAUUCUUUCACCGGGGACGAUAAUGACGGUACCCGGAGAAGAAGCCCCGGCUAACUUCGUG